rnacentral:rRNA from 1 species
AUUGAACGCUGGCGGCAGGCCUAACACAUGCAAGUCGAGCGGAUGAAGGGAGCUUGCUCCUGGAUUCAGCGGCGGACGGGUGAGUAAUGCCUAGGAAUCUGCCUGGUAGUGGGGGAUAACGCCCGGAAACGGGCGCUAAUACCGCAUACGUCCUGAGGGAGAAAGUGGGGGAUCUUCGGACCUCACGCUAUCAGAUGAGCCUAGGUCGGAUUAGCUAGUUGGUGGGGUAAAGGCCUACCAAGGCGACGAUCCGUAACUGGUCUGCGAGGAUGAUCAGUCACACUGGAACUGAGACACGGUCCAGACUCCUACGGGAGGCAGCAGUGGGGAAUAUUGGACAAUGGGCGAAAGCCUGAUCCAGCCAUGCCGCGUGUGUGAAGAAGGUCUUCGGAUUGUAAAGCACUUUAAGUUGGGAGGAAGGGCAGUAAGUUAAUACCUUGCUGUUUUGACGUUACCAACAGAAUAAGCACCGGCUAACUUCGUG